CUAAAAAACACUUUUCAAUGUGGCGGAGGGAAGUGAUUCAUCCCAAUUUUUGUUUAUUUUGAUUUCAAAAAUUCACUUCUAUUCCCAAUAUUCAUAUUUCUACCAUCAAUAUUUAUAUUUAUUUAUCACACCAAACACAGUAUUCAAUAUUCAUCUUCCAAGACUGAUUAUGCUGUUUAUUGCAAACAUUACUGCCUCUAAAGACAAAAUAAAUUAUCAACUACCAUUUUAAUUUCUUCUUACGAGCUGUAAUAUUGCAUAACCAUAUUUUGGUAUGCCUGACUUGAUAUAUUAGUGUUUAUUACAAAUAUUAACCCUAAUAAAUUAUAAAUAAAUUAUUUACUACAGACUGUAUGUACAGUAUUAUUCGAAUUACGUAAUCCCCUUAUUAUUUGGUGAUAUUAUUUGAUCGCUAUUUCCGCAUUCUUGAUCAGGAUG